CCUACGGGAGGCAGCAGUGAGGAAUAUUGGUCAAUGGGCGCGAGCCUGAACCAGCCAAGUAGCGUGAAGGAUGACUGCCCUACGGGUUGUAAACUUCUUUUAUAAAGGAAUACAGUGAGGCACGUGUGCCUUUUUGUAUGUACUUUAUGAAUAAGGAUCGGCUAACUCCGUGCCAGCAGCCGCGGUAAUACGGAGGAUCCGAGCGUUAUCCGGAUUUAUUGGGUUUAAAGGGAGCGUAGAUGGGUUGUUAAGUCAGUUGUGAAAGUGUGCGGCUCAACCGUAAAAUUGCAAUUGAUACUGGCAGUCUUGAGUACAGGUGAGGUAGGCGGAAUUCGUGGUGUAGCGGUGAAAUGCUUAGAUAUCACGAAGAACUCCGAUGGCGAAGGCAGCUUACUAGACUACCACUGACAGUGAGGCGCGAAAGUGUGGGUAGCAAACAGGAUUAGAUACCCUUGUAGUC
rnacentral:rRNA from 1 species